rnacentral:lncRNA from 1 species
UUUUUGCCGGUUCUUCCCGCUGAGGAAGUGUCGCUCAAGACGCUGGCCUAUGAGUUGUGAUUUCUGCCUUUUCCCCUUCCUCCUUGGGCUAAGCCAGACCAGAAAGGGCCCCGUGCGCAACGUGCUUCACAAUCUCUCAGGGAAAGCGGCUAACGUGGCGCUACUCCGCCUCCCCUGUUCCUUACCCUUGGGGCGGCCGCCAUGUUUCCUGAACACAAAAUGGCGACACGUGGUUAGCAUUCGUCGCCAACGAGAAAUUGGGGUCGGCCCGAAAGCUCUAGAAUGCACCCCUCUUCCUCCCCGGGGCCUUCCACCUCCGCGAGUUUUAUGACUUAAAAAAGCCCACAGGCUGGUCUGAAGGUCGGAGGCCUAAUUUUAACGCGUUUUCCUCCCUUUAAUUUGAAACGGGAACGCGAAUGACUGUAAAAUGUGGGCACAAUAUUUAAUCUCUCGCCUUUUUAAAGCUUAAUAGUGGAUAAUAGGGGGGCAGUAUCAAGGGAUAAUUUGGGUCCCCACAGUACCAAAGCAUUUAGAAACCUCUGUUUAAUUUAAGGAAUGAGAUAAGUUACUGCUUUUCUAGACUUCCUAGCAUGGGCUGUUGUGCUGGAGAGAACGAGAGCUACGAAGAGACUACAGUGCCUCUGACUUUUUCAUAGGACAGUUGGCCGAGGAAGACAAACAUAAAGAUGAAGUGCUUAAUUCAAGGUCACACAAUGUCGGGGAUGGACCUCCAGAUUUCCUUACUGGUGAGACGUGGUCUUGUAACACAGUGGUUAAGAAUGUGACUUUGGAGCCAGCCUGCUAGGGGCUGAAUUCUGACUCAGCCAUUUACUAACUGUGUGACCUUAGGUGGAGUCUCACUCUGUAGCCCAAGCUGGAGUGGCGUGAUCUCGACUCACUGCAACCUCCGCCUCCUGGGAUCAAGUGAUUCUCGUGCCUCAGCCUCCUGAGUAGCCGGGACUACAGUUGUCCCUUGGUGUGGGAUUGCUUCCAGUACCUCUGUGUGUAACAAAAGCUGCACCAUUCAAGUCCCACAGUUGCCCUGCGAAACCUCUGUAUAUGAAAAGUUGGCCCUCCAUGUACAUGGGUUUCCCAUCCUGUCACAGAAUUUUCCACACUCCUUGACAGAGGUGCUUAACCCUUAUCCAUCAGCAUUCUCAGACAGCACCUCCGGUUAGGGACAGUAUCUGACCGUCCGACAUCCCUGCAGCCCCCAUGUGUCACACAGACUCAGCCUCAGGUAGAUGGUUUCCGUAGAUGGUGGCUUUCUUUGGACCCUUGACAUCAACCAGUUACUAUUUGCUCCUGCAACCACCGCUGUACUUUCUGUCUCUAUGAACUUGACUACUCUAGACACCUCAUGGGACCAGAUGUGCAGAGGUAAUGAAUACCAGGGAAUCAGGAAACCACUGGAUCAGUUCUUUGAGCCACAGAACAACACUCAUCCCAGCAGCUGGGAAGCUAUCUGCAAAAGUCCAUCUGCAGAAAGGGCUUCCUGGUCUUGCGUGUGGCUGGGCCAUUUCUCUGGAUGCAGGUUUUUCAUUAUACAGUCUUCUCAAAGAACCACCUGCUCUCAACACCUUCUCGGUGACUCCAUUUCCCCUCCUCUGGGCUCCUGGAAUGCCACAAUGGCCCCACCUUAGCCAGGCAGCUGUGAUGAGAGGUGUUGACCCAACUGCCUCUCUGCUGGCUCACUGAAUCAGGUGGAAGGGGCUGGGGACAGCACAGUCUUGCAUUGUGGUUGGGGACCUGGGCCAUCCAGAGGCAGGACUGUCCAAAGGCAGGGUACUGCUGGGAUUCCGCCAGGCACUGGGUGAUGCAUGGCAUAGGGAGCUGAAGAGGGACAGGCUCUUGGCCAGGAAAAACAGCCCCAGAGCCACAGGUGUGCCAUCGAGUCUUCCUCCUCUCCCAUCCUUAAUCACUCCUGUUUGGUGACAGCACACAGCUAGGCCUGGAGCCCAGCAAAGAGCCCCUGGGUCCCAGAGGAAGUUGUUCUGGGGGCUGGAGACAAUCACAAAUGCCAGGUUUGUGAGCCCCAGACUCUGGUUCAUAGCAAGAGGCAGACUUGUGAACAAACCACCAGAUCACACCGUAAAACACGCUCAACGAGGAGUGGGUGCCCUUUCUAGGGACAGGCAGAAGGCUCCAUGGAGUGACCUUUGAAUGGGGACAUAAAAGUGGAUCCCUUCAACAGCCCCUGCACAGCCCCAAGUCAGGCCUCCAGCCCUUGGACUCACAGAUGUCCUCUGUAGACGACUGGAUGUCCUCCCGUGCUACCCUUUACCCCUGCAGCGAGGGGCACAGAGCCAGAGCCCUCCAGGUCCUCACCACUGGCAUCACCAACAUAGUGGACAUUUUCCCUCUCAGAAUGAAAAGGGAGUGAAAUUUCCCGUGAUCUUUCCACAAAUGACCAGCUUGGGGAGUGGGAGAGGAAGUGCUGCAGUGCCUGGGGAAGGGGCCCUGGAACAGUUCCUGGAAAUGGAGAGGGGUGGAUAGGGUGGAGACAAUGCUCAUGGAGUGCAGUAUGGGGCCUACCCAGAGUUGCUUGGCCACCCCUCUGCCUCUGAAUCAGGGGUGAUCAAUGAAGGAAAAUUACUGCAGCAGUUGAGUCCAUGUAAGAUGAUUGUGCACGUGUGUGUGUGUGUGUGUGUGUGUGUGUGUGUCCUCACUCACUUAAAAAAGACCAUUUCUGUGCAUUCUUUAUGCUGGAACCCUCCUCUGCCUCCCUCUCCAGGAAAUCCCAUAGGAUCCCAUACCUGCUUUAGAAUGUGUGUGAGACACUUCCCAGUGCCUGGCAUGUGGUAGGAGCUCAGUACAUGUAAACUGUUUUCCUUUGACCACUCAAAGUAGUCACUUGUUGGGGAGGCCAAUGGCGGCUUCCCCGGUCUCUGAGCUGAUGGGCGUCUGGUCCCUGCCUCCCCUUCCUUCACUGGCUGAUGACAAAUACCUGAAUGUCAUCACAUCCUCCGUGUCCUCAUCUGUUAUUCUGGAACACAGGCCAGGGAGGGUACAGGGUAGUCCCCCUUCAACAGAGGCUGGCCUUUCUUGGGAUGUGGGCUGGCUGGUGUUGGUCCAAGGAUGGAUGCAGAGGGUGAGGCACCCAUCCUGCUAGUCCGGCCGGAUGCUGGCAGGAGGGCGGGGUGAGGAGGGGCGGAGCUUCCAGAACAAAGGAGAAUGGGGAGCCCAGGGGCCAGCCUAGGCAUCAAAAAGGCUCUGCAGAGUGAACAGGCCACAGCACUGCCUGCCUCUGCCCCAGCAGUCAGCCAGCCGACCGCGCCUGCUCCCUCCUGCUUGCCCAAGGCCGGGCAAGUCAUCCCCACUCUGCUUCGAGAGGCCCCGUUUUCCAGCGUGAUUGCGCCGACACUGCUCUGUGGGUUUCUCUUCUUGGCGUGGGUUGCUGCUGAGGUUCCAGAGGAGAGCAGCAGGAUGGCCGGGAGCGGAGCCAGGAGUGAGGAAGGCCGCCGGCAGCAUGCCUUCGUCCCGGAACCUUUUGAUGGGGCCAAUGUCGUCCCAAACCUCUGGCUGCACAGCUUUGAAGUCAUCAAUGACCUCAACCAUUGGGACCAUAUCACCAAGCUAAGGUUCCUGAAAGAGUCCCUCAGAGGAGAGGCCCUGGGUGUCUACAAUAGGCUCAGUCCCCAGGACCAGGGAGACUAUGGGACUGUGAAAGAGGCCCUCCUGAAGGCCUUUGGGGUCCCUGGGGCUGCCCCCAGCCACCUGCCCAAAGAGAUCGUCUUUGCCAACAGCAUGGGUAAGGGCUACUAUCUCAAGGGGAAGAUUGGCAAAGUGCCCGUGAGGUUCCUGGUGGACUCUGGGGCCCAGGUCUCUGUGGUCCACCCAAACUUGUGGGAGGAGGUCACUGAUGGCGAUCUGGACACCCUGCAGCCCUUUGAGAAUGUGGUAAAGGUGGCCAAUGGUGCUGAAAUGAAGAUCCUGGGUGUCUGGGAUACAGCGGUGUCCCUAGGCAAGCUGAAGCUGAAGGCACAGUUCCUAGUGGCCAAUGCGAGUGCCGAGGAAGCCAUCAUUGGCACUGAUGUGCUCCAGGACCACAAUGCUAUCCUGGACUUUGAGCACCGCACAUGCACCCUGAAAGGGAAGAAGUUUCGCCUUCUGCCUGUGGGAGGGUCCCUGGAAGAUGAGUUUGACCUGGAGCUCAUAGAGGAGGACCCCUCCUCAGAAGAAGGGCGGCAGGAGCUAUCCCACUGAGAAGCCACCUUUUCUUUAACCUCCUAAAUAUUGGUGGGAAGACCCACCGCUGUGGGGGGGGUUGCAUAUCCUCAUGGGGGUCACUGGGCUUGGCCAGUCUGCUUAUCAACUCUUGCUCUUCUCUCCCCUUUGCCUCCCUCUGCAGGGGCCUUAAUCUGCCCCUGGUAGGGGAGGCUUCCACUGAACAGGCACAGGUGAGGGAGAGCAGGCUGGCUUAGAGGGACAGGGUCCCCAUGGUCAUCAAGCUGCUGUUGAUGACAAAGACUCAAAGGCUGGAAGAGCUCCCAAGGAAGCUAGAAAUGCUUGUCUUUGAAAGAACUGUGGGACCCCUUCAGAUUCCCUGAGGUAUGGCUUGGUCACUCUCAGGUCCUCAAAGCCUGUCUUAGUUGGGCUGGGUCCUAGCUGCAGGGUCUUUGUGAGGGUCACAGUUGCUCUGGGACACCUCCCUGAAGAGCCUUUCCACCUGUACAAUCGUAUUUUCUUUCUGUCAUUUGCUUUGAAGCCCAUUGUGCCUUAUGCCAAUAAUUCAAUUGCUGCAAACACCAAUAA